AGAUCACUAUCACAUCGUCUAAAUCUCUCACUCACCCACAUACUUCUGCUUCUGAAUGUCGUCAGAAGUUCCCACAGUUGCCACGUCAUCUGCAGCACCGCCUUCAGAAGGAAGCAAAUUCCUCUCAUUCAGCGUUUGACAGACUGUGUCUCUGCCAUUGACACACUCUUCACGCUGUUCAUUUCUCUGUGUCCUCCAUUGAUUUUCAACUGAAGGCUAGAUACGAGAAAGGGGGUUUCCCCGCGCGUUGCUGCCGCUCGCUCUGGGAAUUCUCGUGCAUUUCAAUUUUCCCUCGGUUUUUCAUUGACAUUGACAUAUUCAGCCUGGGAAGCUAGCUCCUGGUGUCUCGAAUAAUAUUAUUUUUCACCUGGUAUCAUGUCAGCUACAACAGAAGAGAAAAAGUUCCUUAUCACCCCUAUCAAUUUAUCAGAUCUUGAUACUUCACCUGGAGCUCAUGCCAAUCAUACAUAUGAAGGUAGUGAUCCAGAAGAACCUGAAGAAGUUGAUAUUCACAUUCCAAAUGAUACACAAAGUCUUUGUGUAUCAACUGGAAGAGAUGAAGAUGAAGGAAGAUCCAUUACACCAAAUAAUAUGGCAUAUGAGUUCAUUCCAUUGAUUUACAGUGAACCUGCUCUGUUCAACAUGCCGGAUAUCUCAUAUAAUCUUCACAAAUCAUUUGCUGCAAGUGACACUUUGCUUCCUCAUAUGAGAGUCGUCGCUGAUGAAAUGAGAAAUACUUCUGCAUCAGUUACAGCUGAACCAGAACCAUCCGUAUCUCAUGCUCCAAGUGUUCUCACAGUUACAGCACCCGAAGAUCGGAAUAUGUAUCAAUCAGACAUUUCUAUGUACGGGUAAGUACUAACCCGGAUGAACCAAUGCUAAUCUGGAAUGAGUCAAUGCUUUGAGCCUUUACAACCCAACCGUUUUUUUUUUGCUUAUUAACUCAGAUUUGCUGUUCAGGUGGUAAAGUUUAUAUUUUCAGUCGGCAAGGUCAUAAACCUUCGUUUUCAACUCGAGAAAUCCGCGAACAACAUCAGAAAGUACAACAAAUAUAUCGAGAUGUAAACAAAAAAGAGCGAAAAGAAGGAAAACCGACGGAUCCGAUUGACUUUGAAGGAAUUCUUAACAUAAUCGGUGGAUGUCGAUGGUGGCAGAUUUGGAUUUAUGUGUUGAUUGCACUUCAACAAAUUCCACAUGCAAUGUUCAAUUUAAAUGUGGUUUAUAUGAUGUAUGAUCCGGAAUUUCAAUGCAUGGUAAGCAGAUGUGCUUUGCGAUUGGGCAUCGGGGAAUUAGUAGACUUCCGCUUUUUGAUGAAGUUGUUGAUGAUAAGGUUUCCUAGCAUUAGGUUUUCAUGAACAACAUGCUUGGUCAAGCUUAUCAAAAGAUCAUUGUUAUGGGAAACGGGCUUCUGAAAUGAUUUGAAUAAUGUAAUAAGCUCUCAUUCAAUAGAUUGCAAGUUCAAAACUUUUCAAUUUAUAUUGAUAUCAGAAAUUUUAGAUGGUGCAUUUUAAAUCUAUAAAUCGGUGGGGAGAAGUUACUUGCUACUAUUAAAGCUUUACAAAAACUGAUAAAAAAAUGUGGCACUUAUUUUCUAGAUUAACAUUUUUAAUUGCUCAAUAUUAUGAUUCACUUGAACAUGUCUAGUAUAGACUAAAGUAGGUUACAUUUACUGAUAUUGAUCUAUUGUAAAUUAAAUGUGAAUCCGUUUCAUGGGCGCUUAUCUUUUAAAAAUUCGCGAUUUUUAUCUGCUAACCUUCAUGUAAAGAUGGCACGAGGAUAUCACAUGUUUGUAAGACAUCCAUGAAAAUUAAAAAAUUUUUGCUCAUCUUGAUAUUAGUAAAAAAUGCUCCAAAAAUAUUCAGGUACCUGGUUUCAAUGACACAAACGACACAACCAUCUCCUCUCAUGGACCAUACCUUUGGGGUGUUGAUGACAUUAAAAACAUAUCCUUUGUAUUCCCAAAUGCAAAUUCUGAUGGAGCCUACCAACGGGAUUCUUGUUACUUUUAUGAAAGAUCAGAAGAACGAUACCGACAACUCCGUAGAAUGCCUUUAGAAACUGCCAUGAGUGAAGCAUGGAAAGAUGUCGCGCCAAAGAAAAAGUGUCAAGCUUAUCAUUUUGAGAAAGACGUUAUGGUAGAAACAAUCGUAACAGAUUUCAAUUUGGUAUGUGACAGUUGGUUCGCAAAAGGUCAUGCACAUAUGUUCUAUUCAAUUGGAUAUCUUCUAGGAUGUGUUCUUGGUGGAAUUGCCAGUGAUAAAAUCGGCCGAAAACCAACAAUAAUAGGCUUUGGAAUACUUUCAUCAAUGCUCGGAGUGUUCCUUCCUUUUAAUGAUUAUUAUCCAAUGUUUCUUCUGAUUCGAUUAUUAUCUGCAAUUUGCAAUGAAGCAGCUGAUUUAGCAGCUUACACAUUGUGCAUGGAAAUCACAGGAACCAAAUAUCGUGCGAUGGUUGGAUCAAUGUUACAAGCUCCUUGGGCCCUUGGAUAUGCUCUCCUUGCACUUAUAGCUUAUUUAACAAAAAGUUGGAAAACCAUCCAGGUUAUUGCGGCAGGACUUCACUUCAUGUCAAUCAUAUUUAUUUGUUCAAUUCCGGAAUCUCCUCGAUGGCUGAUGGUUCAGAAUAGAGUUUCAGAAGCAGAAGAAGUUAUAAGAAAAGCGUGUAGAGAACCUCCAUUCCCAUUUAAUAUGUGCACAACUUCAAAAUGUGGAAACUUGCCAUCCGAUUUGGAAUUAGUUUCGCAUCGGGAGAGGAAAUUAAACAAAAAGAACGGUGGUAAAAUAGGAUUCCUCGACCUGUUCACAAUGAAAGAACUGCGUUAUCGAACAAUAUCCGUGUGCAUUGUCUUUAUGGCAACUGCUCUUGUGUAUUAUGGGCUUGUUAUGGCUCUAUCAGACCAGUCCGCACCUGGAAGAACUCUCUUCACUGGUUAUUUCCAUUUGAAUAACGGAAUUGCUGGAGCAAUUGAAAUUCCAACAUUGUUUGCGUGUGUCUGGAUGAUGCAGUUGGGCAGGAAAAAAGCUCUAAUGUUAACACUGAUAACUUCUGGUUUGUUCAUCAUUGUUGCAAUGCUCUCAAUGGUUUCUGGCCACUACAUGUUAGCUCUGGCAUUCAUGUAUUUUGGAAAGAUAGCUGUACAAGGAGCAUUUAAUAUUCUCUAUAUAUUUACAAGUGAACUAUAUCCAACUGUUGUUCGUAACACUGCAGUUGGUGUCACUUCAAUGGUGGCUCGAUUUGGAUCUGGAUUAUCGUCCUACAUUGCUCUGUUGUCAAACAUUUCUCUACCAAUCGUUCCAAUGAUUAUUUUCGCUGUGUUCUCAUUGUUUGCUGGAAUGUUGGUGUUCGUAUUACCAGAAACUAGUGAGAAGCCACUACCGGAAACAUUAGAUGAUGCUAUCAACUUCCUGGAACCUACCAAACAAGUAAACUGCAUGAUGGGGCGUUUUGGUGUGUUUGGUCAUCAAAAAAUGACAAAAAGCAUUAGUUUGACGGAAAAUCCCAGCACCAAUGAUAUUGCCGAUUUAAAACCAUUGAGUCGACGAUCGUCGGCUAUAACAAGAAGGAUGACGGAACGGGCAAGCGUAAUUUAUUCAAGAAAUGCGAGUCGUACAAAUUCAAUAGUACAAGAUAUUCAAGAUAUUCAAAUUCCAUCGGACUUCAAAAUGCCCGAUUUGGUAUCCACCGACGAGUAACAUUUCAAACUUAUCACCCAGUUUUGCGAGCUUACAAGCAUUGACACUCCCUUAAUUCACAUUUUAUUCAAUACGAGUACGAUUGUUUAGUUGUUUUCCCAUCUCAUCAUUUUUAGCUUUUUAAUUCAGUUAUUUUUAUUUAAUCGGGUAUUUUUCAAAUCCUAGUCAUCAUCAGACCAAAAAACUACCAUUUGACAUUUUUGAAAUCCGGUAUUUUGUGAAAUUGCAACUAUCAUUCGCUUCAAAUCAAAAAUAAGUGCCUCUUGAAAUUUAUAACCCAGUGAAACAUUGUUUUUUUUCUAAUUUUUUUUCUAAUUGAAAUUCGCAUUAUUUGAAGUAAAAUAAACCGCUU
rnacentral:misc_RNA from 1 species